rnacentral:rRNA from 1 species
CGCCUGAUGGACGUCGACCGGCGCACGGGUGAGUAACGCGUAUCCAACCUGCCCCACACCAAGGGACAACCCGCAGAAAUGUGGGCUAAUACCUUAUAUUUCCACCAAGGGCAUCGUCGAUGGAACAAAGAUUUAUCGGUAUGGGAUGGGGAUGCGUCCGAUUAGGUUGUUGGCGGGGUAACGGCCCACCAAGCCCUCGAUCGGUAGGGGUUCUGAGAGGAAGGUCCCCCACAUAGGAACUGAGACACGGUCCUAACUCCUACGGGAGGCAGCAGAU